ACGUAGGGGGCAAGCGUUGCUCGGAAUUACUGGGCGUAAAGGGAGCGUAGGCGGCUGAUUAAGUUAAGGAUGAAAUCCCGCGGCUCAACUUCGGAACUGUCCUUGAUACUGGUCAGCUUGAGGCUAGUAAAGGAGAGCGGAAGUCCCGGUGGAGCGGUGAAAUGCGUAGAUAUCGGGAGGAACACCAGAGGCGAAGGCGGUUCUCUAGUCUAUUCCUGACGCUGAGACACGAAAGCUAGGGGAGCAAACGG
rnacentral:rRNA from 1 species